rnacentral:tRNA from 1 species
GGGCCGUUAGCUCAAUCGGCAGAGCAGGGGACUCUUAAUCCCAAGGUUCAGGGUUCGACUCCCUGGCGGCCCA